rnacentral:rRNA from 1 species
CAGCAGCGCGGUAAUACGAAGGGUGCAAGCGUUACUCGGAAUUACUGGGCGUAAAGCGUGCGUAGGUGGUGGUUUAAGUCCGCUGUGAAAGCCCUGGGCUCAACCUGGGAAUUGCAGUGGAUACUGGAUCACUAGAGUGUGGUAGAGGAUAGUGGAAUUUCCGGUGUAGCAGUGAAAUGCGUAGAGAUCGGAAGGAACAUCUGUGGCGAAGGCGACUAUCUGGGCCAACACUGACACUGAGGCACGAAAGCGUGGGGAGCAAACAGGAUUAGAUACCCCCGUAGUCCCUGUCUCUUAUCCA